rnacentral:rRNA from 1 species
GAUGAACGCUAGCUACAGGCUUAACACAUGCAAGUCGAGGGGAAACGGCAUCGAAAGCUUGCUUUUGAUGGGCGUCGACCGGCGCAUGGGUGAGUAACGCGUAUCCAACCUGCCCAUCACUUGGGAAUAACCUUGCGAAAGUAAGACUAAUGCCCAAUGACAUCCCACGAAGGCAUCCGAAUGGGAUUAAAGAUUUAUCGGUGAUGGAUGGGGAUGCGUCUGAUUAGCUUGUUGGCGGGGUGACGGCCCACCAAGGCAACGAUCAGUAGGGGUUCUGAGAGGAAGGUCCCCCACAUUGGAACUGAGACACGGUCCAAACUCCUACGGGAGGCAGCAGUGAGGAAUAUUGGUCAAUGGGCGAGAGCCUGAACCAGCCAAGUAGCGUGCAGGAUGACGGCCCUAUGGGUUGUAAACUGCUUUUAUAAGGGAAUAAAGUGGGUCACGUGUGACUUUUUGCAUGUACCUUAUGAAUAAGGACCGGCUAAUUCCGUG